GGACUCAUGGUGUAAUGGUGAUCAGUCUAGACUCCGAAUCCAGUGAUCUGAGUUCAAAUCGCAGUGGGACCU
rnacentral:tRNA from 1 species